rnacentral:misc_RNA from 1 species
AACGGUCUAUACCUGCGGUACCUGCGGAGGGAUCAUUACCAAACAAAAGCUGUCCUGGGCUUCGUGCCCUGACGCUUCAACCAUUUGUGAACCGAAUCAAACCUUCGCUUCGGCAGCAGGGCACCUCGCCCGUGAGCCUGCCGCUGGCAUCAUAAUUCAAACUUGCAGUUGAACUGUGUCUGAAUCCAAAUUUCUGAAUUGAAAUCAAAACUUUCAACAACGGAUCUCUAGAUCGGAAGA